GGGCGAAAGCCUGAUCCAGCAAUGCCGCGUGCAGGAUGAAGGCCUUCGGGUUGUAAACUGCUUUUGUACGGAACGAAACGGCUCACCCUAAUACGGUGGGCUAAUGACGGUACCGUAAGAAUAAGCACCGGCUAACUACGUGCCAGCAGCCGCGGUAAUACGUAGGGUGCGAGCGUUAAUCGGAAUUACUGGGCGUAAAGCGUGCGCAGGCGGUUAUGUAAGACAGAUGUGAAAUCCCCGGGCUCAACCUGGGACCUGCAUUUGUGACUGCAUAGCUAGAGUACGGUAGAGGGGGAUGGAAUUCCGCGUGUAGCAGUGAAAUGCGUAGAUAUGCGGAGGAACACCGAUGGCGAAGGCAAUCCCCUGGACCUGUACUGACGCUCAUGCACGAAAGCGUGGGGAGCAAACAGGAUUAGAUACCCUGGUAGUCCACGCCCUAAACGAUGUCAACUGGUUGUUGGGUCUUCACUGACUCAGUAACGAAGCUAACGCGU
rnacentral:rRNA from 1 species